rnacentral:snRNA from 1 species
UUGCUGUCUCUGGCAGCACAUAUUCUGAAAUUGGAAUGAUUCAGAAAAAAUUAGCAUGGCCCCGUGAGUGAGGAUGACACAAAUUUGUGAAGCAUUCCAUAUUUUU